ACGGGAGGCAGCAGUGGGGAAUAUUGCACAAUGGGGGAAACCCUGAUGCAGCGAUGCCGCGUGGAGGAAGAAGGUUUUCGGAUUGUAAACUCCUGUCUUAAAGGACGAUAAUGACGGUACUUUCGGAGGAAGCUCCGGCUAACUACGUGCCAGCAGCCGCGGUAAUACGUAGGGAGCGAGCGUUGUCCGGAAUUACUGGGUGUAAAGGGAGCGUAGGCGGGACGGCAAGUCAGAUGUGAAAUACAUGGGCUCAACCCAUGGGCUGCAUUUGAAACUGCUGUUCUUGAGCGAAGUAGAGGUAAGCGGAAUUCCUGGUGUAGCGGUGAAAUGCGUAGAUAUCAGGAGGAACACCGGUGGCGAAGGCGGCUACUGGGCUUUUACUGACGCUGAGGCUCGAAAGCGUGGGGAGCAAACAGGAUUAGAUACCCUGGUA
rnacentral:rRNA from 1 species